GGAGGGCCCAUCGUACCGUAUCGGAUGUGCAAAAACGGUUCCCUAAAACUCCCCUAAUGUACAAACAGUUUUAGGGAACCGAUUUUGCACAUCCGAUAUGGUACGAUGGGCCCUCC
rnacentral:pre_miRNA from 1 species